rnacentral:rRNA from 1 species
AUUGAACGCUGGCGGCAGGCCUAACACAUGCAAGUCGAGCGGAUGAAGGGAGCUUGCUCCUGGAUUCAGCGGCGGACGGGUGAGUAAUGCCUAGGAAUCUGCCUGGUCUUGGGGGAUAACGUCCGGAAACGGGCGCUAAUACCGCAUACGUCCUGAGGGAGAAAGUGGGGGAUCUUCGGACCUCACGCUAUCUGAUGAGCCUAGGUCGGAUUAGCUAGUUGGUGGGGUAAAGGCCUACCAAGGCGACGAUCCGUAACUGGUCUGAGAGGAUGAUCAGUCACACUGGAACUGAGACACGGUCCAGACUCCUACGGGAGGCAGCAGUGGGGAAUAUUGGACAAUGGGCGAAAGCCUGAUCCAGCCAUGCCGCGUGUGUGAAGAAGGUCUUCGGAUUGUAAAGCACUUUAAGUUGGGAGGAAGGGCAGUAAGUUAAUACCUUGCUGUUUUGACGGUACCAACAGAAUAAGCACCGGCUAACUUCGUG